rnacentral:lncRNA from 1 species
GGUGAGCUCGCGUCGCGUGCGUCCAAGCUUCUUCAAUCUUCGACGAGUCAAGCACAAAUCUUCGUUGUCUUGCUCUGAUCUUCUCUGUCCGUGUUCUGGUCCUCCGCCGUGCUCGGUCUUCACCGUGGCCUCAAGCUUCGCCGUCGUAGCUUCCAAUCCGGUCAUGGCCUUCUUCCCUGAAACCUCCAUAGGCGUGAGUCUUCAGUCUCGUCUCUGUCUUCCUCGUCGAGCUCUCCUCUGUGAUGGUCUGAAACCACACGUCGUCGUCAGCCCAGCCUUAGCCGUCGUCGGGUCGAGCUUCGCCGUCGUCGGGUCGAGCUUCGCCGUCGUCGUUGUGCUCCAGAUCCGGCGAGAAGAAGAUCGCAUACUCCAAUGGCUGGUUUUCAUAGUUUUGCACAUCUGGUCCUUCUUCUUUUAGCUAUUUACAUCCGGCCCUAAUACUAUUAGAUUUUCAGAAAGGUCCUCUUGAAUCAACCCUAAACUUUUGACUGCGCAUUCUAGACCCCCGUAAUUGCACAAUGGUCCCUCGCUGCGUGAUAGUUCUCAGUUCGG